AGAUAUCACUGAAUUUCCGUAACAGUCUAUGUUUGCACUCAUCAGUGUUUAUGUUUACUUUUGUAAGAGUAAUGAGUAGUUCAGCUAGAAGGAUUUAUCUGCAAGCCAGAGCCAUGUGAGCAUUUGCAACUGGAGUGUGAUCACUGAAAAGAAUAUAAUUACUUUUUGCCUCUUCCAUUUGCCCAGUGCCAGGAGCAGCUAACCAGCUUGUGUUCUACAAGGAUGAGUUUCUGUGGAAGCUUCCUGAGGGCUUGCAAAGGCACCAACUGCCCGAAUCUUUCUGGUGGGUGAUUGUUAUCUUCUCUUACUAAGUCUACAAAUUGCUGUAAACCAACAAAAUAAUCAUCAGA
rnacentral:lncRNA from 12 species